AAAUUGCUGGUGUACUGUAACUUGCUCAAAAAGAUCACCCAGUUAGCUCCUCGUUAACACUGAAGGGUGCUGCUGAUGAAUUUGGGUUUAUGCGGGAUUAAUCACUGGCAAGCUUAUAUGUCACUCUUUUCAUGACUACUAUGGAUGAACUCGCAAUAUAUUCAACAUGGUACAAGAUAAACUCCAAACGUGGAUGAUUUAUUUGAUUCGUUGUAAGGUGUAUGGAUGCCUUGGAGAGAGACAUCAGACAUGAUAAAAUAGAAGUUCGAUACUUGUGCCCUUUUGCCGAGUAUGCUGUGCAGGCAGUCUGAUUUUGCUCCCUUUAUAGUUAUACUGACUAGUUGACAUAUAGGUUUAGUCUGUAGAUAUGAUUAGUCCCCUUUUCUGUUUUACUGAAAAUCGGAAUGCAAGCAUGCCCAAGUUUUUUUUCGAGAAUUGAUGCCCAAGUUUCGAGGUAACAAUUUUUGACAAUACACUGUAUGUAGAAAAUAGGCACAUGAUAGACUUAGCAGAUAUGUAUGUUCCUCAUCUUAUCACUGUAAGUUUAACUGUAAAUGUAAUGCUCCCCUCAUGUAAAGGAUGAUCUUUUGAGAUCUACAAGCAAAAUAUCCAGAUGUAUUAUACAUUUAUACC